rnacentral:rRNA from 1 species
UACGUAGGGGGCAAGCGUUAUCCGGAUUUACUGGGUGUAAAGGGAGCGUAGACGGCCUUGCAAGUCUGGUGUGAAAGCCCGGGGCUCAACCCCGGGACUGCAUUGGAAACUGCAUGGCUGGAGUGCAGGAGAGGUAAGCGGAAUUCCUAGUGUAGCGGUGAAAUGCGUAGAUAUUAGGAGGAACACCAGCGGCGAAGGCGGCUUACUGGACUGUAACUGACGUUGAGGCUCGAAAGCGUGGGGAGCAAACAGG